GUACCAGGGGUGCUGAUUCUUGUGAAUCGGCUGAGACGGCGUGUUGCCGAACCCUUUUAACCUGUAUCUAGACAAUACUAGCGUAGGGAGAGUCUUAUGUU
rnacentral:ncRNA from 1 species